UCUCUCACAAUCAGCCUUGUCAGCUUGAUCUCGUGAGUCAGGAUUGAGUUCCAAUACAGCACCAAGUAUUGGAUUGAGGACAUUGAUUCUGUGUAAGUAAAAGUCAACGAGCUGUCUUGAAGUGAGUGAGUUUCGUGUGAAGGCAUCUUGUAUGUCUUCUAUUCAUUGAUUGUAAAAUCUGAACAUUCAUCUAUUGCAUUGAUAAAUGCCACUGCAAAUAACAUUAGAGAAAUACAAACUUUGGUUCUUGUUGCCAUUUUUAUUUUGUUGAAACUAAGAUGGAUAAAAUAUAUAUUAGUAACUUGAAUUCAAAAAGAUAUUAGUAACUUGAAUUCGGGUCAACUUCUUGGGUGGAUAAAAUAUAUUAAAUGCAUUUUUGCCCCUCUAAUUUUUAAAAACUUGUGAUUUUGUCCCCUAACAAAAAUAUAAUAAUAUUGACCCAUAACUUAAAAGAUAAGGGACCAACGUUGUUGAGAAGACGUCACAUAUCUCAAAAUAGAUGGCAAAAAUUGCUAUUUUUUUACAAUAAGGUGCCAAAAUUGUUAUUUUUUAAAGUUAAGAGGCGAAAAUAGCAACAUUUUGUAAAGUUAGGGGACAAAAUUGCAAUUCUUUUGUUAAGGGGCCAAAAUCAAAACCUUUGAAAAGUUAAGGGAUUAAAAUUACACUUAAGACUAUUAACAAUAAGAUAAAUGCUAACGAGUGCCGGCACUUUUUAAAUGCCUUAAAUGGUACUCCCUCCGUCUCUAUAUCUAAGCACUCAUUUAACUUUAUUUUUGUCCCUAAGUGCGUUUGGUUUGCAAAACAGUAAGUACUAGACAGAAUAGACUAGUACAAGAUAGAACAGCACAUGACAAAUUUGUAUCUUAUUGAUUUUUUUAUAAGAUUCUUGGGGACGAAAUGCUAUUUUGGUAUUUUAGACAACUUGUAUGUGGGACAAAAAGUUGUGUUGUGGUUUGGUGAGGGACAAAAAUAUCAAUUUUUCUCCUGUCCCUUGCCUCCAGUUUGUCUUGUACCAAAACAGUUUUACAAAUCAAACACUAGACAACUUGAGUUGUUCUGCCCUUUGCUUCAUUUUUUAGCAAAUCAAAUGCACGUGUCCGUUUGAUGAUCAGGAUAUGAUAGAUGCAUGAUAUGAUAUAAAGCUGGAUAGAGAUAAGAUAUAAUAUGAUAAGCAUUAAUCAUAUCAUGUGUUUGAUGGCCACAUGAUAACAAACAAGAUAUCAUUAUAAUUAAAUGAAGGGUCAUGUUAACCAGUGUCUCUGCCUCCCGGGGCACCGGUUAAGGAAGCCAAAAGAAAAAAUUGUAAAUAAAAAAAGACAUUUUUUUAAACUUUUAAUGCAUUCACUGCACAGCUUUCAAUACAAAAUAUUAUUAUAUUUGCUUCCUUAACUAGUGUCCGGGGGCAUCGGUUAACAUUUUCCUUAAAUGAAAAACUUGCUCUCAUAAUUAAUUAAAUAUUGUAAAAAUGACAUGUUAUUAAUUAUAAUAGAAAAUGCAUGCUAUCAUAAUUUAAAAAAUGACAAUAUUUUAAAAAUGGCAAAAUCUCAAGAUAAUAAAUAAAGAAUGAUCUUCUAAUUCCAUCAGGAUAAUUUCUAACACAACUUAUACUCAGGAUAGAAAUUACAAAGGAAAGUUAGGAUAGGAUAGGAAAAUGGUUUAUUUUAUCUUAUCACUUAGGUGCAUCAAAUAUGAGAUUUAAGCAUAAUAUGAUUAAUGUAUCAUAUCAUGGCUCCCUAUCCUCACCAUUAAACGGACCUAAAUGUAAACCUCUUUUCAAGUUACUAGAUACAUUUAUUUAUUUAUUUCCUAAACAUAUUCCUAAUUAAUACUCAAUCCGUUUCAAAAUGAGUGUCGCUUUAGCCAAAAAAAAUUAUUUCAAAAUAAAUGUCACUUUACAUUUCCAAUACAACUUUAAUUUUUUUCUUCCAACUUUACCCUUAAUAAAUACUCAAACUUUUCUCUCACACACAAUUUUCAGUGUAACUUUAAGUUUGUCUUAUUCUUAUAAAGUAAGGUUAUUUUAGUAAAAUUGCUAUGACAUUUGACUACUUUAUUCCAUUCCUUAAUCCGUGUGCAAUUGGUUAAAGUGACACUCAUUUUGAAACGGAUGGAGUACUACUAAUUUACCUUGAAAUAUGAAAAGUCAAAUUUAAUACACAUACAAACAAAUGAUAAUUUGGCAAUAUUAACACACAAAAUAGACAUAUUAAUUACACUAACAACUUUUCUUAAAAAAUGUGAAAAAAGCAAAGAGAACUUACAUAUAGUUACAGAGGGAGUAAGUUUUAUGAAAGUUUGUGUAUCCAAUGUAUUAGAAAUUGAAAUACUUAAUUUUUUUAAAGAAUAAUUACUUAGGUACCGUUUGAUCAGACUUUUUUACGGUCUAAAAGCUACUUUAAAACAAAGUUAAAAUAAAGCUCUUUAAGAAAAAGGCUAAAGUUGUUUGGUUUCUUUAUUUUUUUUAUUUUUUUUUAGUUCUAAAGUUAUUUUUGAGUUAAAAGCUGUUUGGCAAAAUAUUGUACAAAACUUUGAAUUUAUUAUUUUUUUGUGGUGUCCGGGGUUCGAACCCGGGACCUUGCAUAUAUUUAUGCAUUGUCUAUAAAUAAAAAAACUUUGAAUUCAUUAUGAAUUAACAUAAUAAAUAAAAAAAAUGUCUAAAAUAUUUUUUGAAGGGAAAAAAUGUUUAAAAUAUAAAAGAGGCUCAAUGACGUUUAUUUUUACCAAUACUAUAUUUACUCAAUGACGUUUAUUUUGUGUAACAUGAAUACAAAUUUGUAUCAUCAUAUAAACGACUUGUUAAAUAUUUGAAUAGGAGAAAUAAUUUAAGGAGGCUCAAAUAAUAACAUAAAUAAUAUCAAAGUAGUUUGGAAAAUUAAAAACAAUAAUCAUCUUUUUUUUUUUGAAAAAGACAUAAAUCAUCACAAACUCAAACAUUUCUACUCUUCAUCAACGCAACUCUUAUUUGAUUUCUUACUUUACUCUCCAUCAACGCAACUCCUAUUUGAUUUCUUACUUUAUCCAUGUAGCCUCCAUCUUGCACUCUUCCUGGAUUAUAUGAACUAAUUUCUUCAUUUAUAUUGCUUUCUUCGUCAGGCUCAAUCAUAUAUUCAGAGAUAACAUCACAUUUAUUAAACUCUUCAUCUUCAACUCCACACAUUCGAAUAAAGUUGUGGAGUGCUGUUGUUGCAACUAUGAUCUUUUGUUGUUUGAUUAGUGAAAAUGGUCGCAUAUCACAUAAGAUAUGCCACCUUUUUUUUCCAAACUCCAAUUGUUCUUCAAUGACAUUUCUCAAUGAAGAAUGUGCAUGGUUGAACACUUCAUGGAUACCUUCUACUUGACUACCAUCUCUAAAAUCAGGAAUGUAUAAGUGUGUAUAUAUAAUGAGAAUAAUUGGUUUUUUCUUUUCCAAUUAUACUCUAUAACAAAUUUUGUUAUAAGAAUACCAUAUUUUUAGUUUUGGUCAAAAAGAUAAGAAUUUAUAUUAUAUAAUAUUAUAUUUGUUACAUUGCUGGUGUCAUUGAAAAAGAUAUGUUUAGUUUUUUUAAUAAGAAAAAGAUAUGCAUAGUUUGUUACAAUACAAAUGUGUAAAUUAUAUAUAAGUAUAAUUUUUUUAGGCAACUACACUUGUACUUUUAAUUAAAAUCAAAAUUUUAUAAAAAUAAUUAUACGCAUUACACAACACUAACAAAAAUUAUACGCAUUAGCAUAACAAAAAAAAAAACAGAAAGAGGAACAUAAAGUAUUACUCUAAACGCUAAUGUGUGUGUAUUUCCGUGGUUGAAGAAAGGGAAUAAAAAUAUUCGGUGUCAUUCAUUGACAACGUGAAUACAAAUAUUUGCAAGGUUGUGAUGAUCAAAAGAUAUUGAAAUUAAUAUAUAAGUGAUAAAAAGAUUAUAAAAUUCCUUAAAAAAAUAGAUAAUAAAUUUUAAUGGAACCUCAUUAAAAAAUUAAAUGGACCGGUUAAAAAAAAUAAAAUAAAAUAAAAUGGAAGAAAAAAGCAUAUUGAAAAAAUAAAACAAAAGGUUGCCGGCGGGAGUUGAAGAGAGAUGCUUGUGAAAUAAAUUGGGGAGAAAUAGUUUUUUGAAGUAGCAUUCAACAACUUUUGGUUAAAGCUCAUUCCAUUCAAUUUUAUGAAUUCUAAAAAAAAAAAGUACUUUUUUUCGAAGAUACUUUAUUGAUAUUGUGUUUGGCCUAGCUUCUCCUUAAAAACGUAGAAAAACUGAAAAAAAAACCGAGGCAAACGGUACCUUAAUUUAAAAUACUAAAGAAUGUCUCAUGAUACUCGUUAGCAUGAAGGAAGCUAAUUGAAAAUCAUGAAGGAAUCAUGAAGGUUAAUUAUUUUCAGAUUUAGGGGCUAAUUAAAAAUCAAUUUGGGAAUUUUACAAGUUAGGAUUCUUGAAUUAUAGAUAUAUUUUAAUUUCAGAAAUUUUUAAUUCUAAUUAUUUAAUUUUAUGAUUAUAUUUUAAUAUUAAUGACAUGGAAAUAAGUGUUCUAGUGAUAGACCAUGUAAGCAAUGUCAUGUAGGAUCACAUCAUUAACGGACACGCCACAACAGCCUUAUCGCUCCACUUCUUAACAUCCCCACUCCAACUACCUCAACCACCUUAUAUCUCCCGAACUAAGGUAACAACUAAACAAGGACAUCCAUGGGCAUGUCCAUCCCAGUCAUGACCAUUUAUUGACACCGUCUGCUAGUUAUUUUAUGUCCAUGUACUAUGCAAUGUAUCGGACUCGAGCUGAAUCCAAUGCUCUCUAUGCGUUAAAUAAGUGUCUGGUUCUUAUAAAAUUUUCAAAUUUCGCUUUUAAGUCCCUCUAAAUUUUUUCUUCAAAUUUUGCUCUACAUAUUUCCUAUCACCACUUUUGCUCUUGUGUAUCCUUCAUAUUUUUGAAUGAUUUUUUUUUCCUUCUAAGAAUGUUUAGAAUACUAUAAGAAUCUCUUCCAAAAAAAAUUCAUAUUUAAUUCAUCCUUGUUAAAAAAUCGUAUGCAGCGUGGGGUGGAAAAGAAGGUCUUCAACUCUUAUGGAAGCCGUCGUGGCAAUGAUGAAGUUAUGUCUAGGGGAACUUUUGCCAACAUAAGAAUUGUAAACAAGCUAUUGAACGACGAAGUUGGCCCCAAGACUGCACAUUCCAACAGGGGAGAAGCUUUAUGUUUUUGAUGCAGCAGAGGUGAGUUGCCCUAACCAACCAAGAGGGACAUGCUUUUUAUUACUGUUUUUGAGUUUUCCAAGUGUCAUACGUAGUUUUUUCCAUAUGAUGCUUUGCAAUGGUCUUACAUAAACUGCUUAUUGCAAUAAUGGAUUAAAUAUGAAUGGAAUUGAUGAUGAAGUAGUUGCUUGUUGCAAGACUCGAUUAAGUAUGAAUUAAAUUGACGAAUGCAGUUGCUUAUUGCAAGAAUUGAUUAAGUAUGAAUUAAAGCACACCACAAAGUUAUUAAUUGUUUUUUAAAGUUUUUAAAGUUAUUUGCAAGAAUUGUUUUUAAAGUUAUUUACUUAUGAUUUAAUUUUUAUGAUCAACUUAUUAAUUGUUUUUAAAGUUAGGGUCAUGCUAACCGGUGUCUCCGGGGCACUGGUUAAGCAUACAAAAAAAGGAAAUUCUUACCAUAAAAGGAAGUUUUGUUGACUUAUUUAUGGAUUAAUUAAACAAUUUUCAAUGCAAUAAUUAACAUAUAAUUUCUCUUUUUAUUAUCCUUAACCGGUGCCCCCGGGGCACAGGUUAAGCAUACAAAAAAAGGAAAUUCUUACCAUAAAAGGAAGUUUUGUUGACUUAUUUAUGGAUUAAGCACACCACAAAUAUUGUUCUGUUUUUUUUUUUUUAAGGAAAUACUAGUUACAAACCCAUGCGAGGUUUAAUAACGUAUCUUGAAAAAAAAUUGUUCCAAAGGAAAAAUGAGUAAAUUAAUGAAUAUUGCACAAACAUUAUAAAUCUUUAUCAGAAUAUUUAUGAAAGUUUUACCAAGUCUUGAAUAGAGAUUAAUAUUUGUGAAAUUGUGAUGAUUGAUAAAAGAAUUAAAAAGGAUAAAGGGUAUAGAAAUAAAUUUAUUAAAGAAUUAAAAAUUUGUUUAAACUUAUUUUUGUUACAAUUUAGGCCUAAAAAAAAUAUUGGACUUCAUUGAGUUUCUCUCUAAUUUUUUUAUCAGGCUUGAAGCUAUGACUCUGAGUUUGAAAACUGCAAAAUUCACAAAAAUUAUUGAAGAAAGACUAUAAACAAAUAAACGGCAUCGCUCAAAAAUGAAAUCAUAUUUGGCUAUAGUGAUCAAGCAAACAAAAAAAGGAAGCAUAUUUUUUUUUUUGGGCAAGAAAAGGAAGCAUGUUAAAUACCUAUAAUCAAUGGAUUCUAAUUGCAUAGGGGUGACACAUAUACUUUCUCUGUCUAGUCAUCAAUGAGAGUGAUUGUUUUGCGCUUUCCUUUCAGAAUUGUUCUUGACGCCUCGUUUUGGAAAUGCUAAACAGGAAAAUAACUGCAAUAUUAGUCUGAUGCAUAUUAACAUGGAUAAGAUGUAUGUGAAUAUAGUACAUAUAAUUUAUAAAAUGAAGGUAACAUAACUGAUUUUAAGCUAAAGAAAAUGUAUCAUGACUUCUAAUUUAUCUUCCUAUAAAGUCUAGAUAAAUGCAUCCAUGUGCAUUAUAUGUACCCUAUUGACCAAUUAACAUUGUUGAAACAAAUGGAAAUUAAGCAUCACUCCUGCAUGUGCAUCUAUAGCUAGCACCAUUUGACAUUGAUGUCUUCGAACAUUUGGUUAGGAUUGAAUUUAGCUGUUUUUCAAAUAGUAAUGCAAUAUGUAUCCUAACACAAACUAUGCACAGGAAAUAAAGAAUAAUGCAAUAUGUAUUUUUAAUUUGUGCGUAAAAAAACUCAAAACAUGUUUGUGCAUAAAAAAAGUAGACCUUGACUAAGUUUAUAAAUUCAGCAAUUGGUCUAACUUGAGACAUAUUGGAAAAAUCCUUCUACAAAGUACGUUGAGAAGAAGCCGAACGGAGGUAGUAUUUCGUAUUGUGUUGUGUGUUAUUCUGUUCUGAAUGUUAAUUGUUUGCUCUCUCUCUCUCUCCCUCCCUCCUCCCUAGGUAUAUCAGCAAAAUUGCAAAAGGCAAAGUCCCCAAACGCCGCCGUUCAGGUACAUCUAUAUUUACAUGCAUUUUUUGUAUUGUAAUCAUAAACUAGUUGACAGAUUCCAACGUCCCCAAAUGCUUUUUUCAUUUUUUUUUGGUGUUGUAACGGUGUUUCGUUGCGUAAUGACUUUCCGGCCUGAUUUUUGUUCACUCUGUAAAAACGUUGAAAAAAACUUCGACCUAUACCCUUUUUAUAGCAGCCUUUUUCUCUCUUGAUAAUGGACAUUUUUUUUUUUGAAGGAAAAAAAAAAUUAAAGGAAAAAAAAAACUGUCCAUUACCUUGGAUUAGGGUUUUAGAUCAUUCUUUUUUAAUUUUUUUCCUUUGAUUAUUGUUAGCUGUUGGCACCAAGAACAAGAAGGUCAAGAAGAACAUGAGAAUGUAAGUCCUCUCUUACUUCCUUCCUUCCUUAUUUUGUCUCUCUAUUCAUCCAUUAUUGCCUUCUUUUUUGUUUUCAUUUCAAACUGUAGAAGUAUUUGGAACUCCUCAAACCCUUGUUUUCAUAACUUAUGCAGGGACGUAAGCCAAAUUUCCCUGGAUGUUUCAAGCAACUCAGAGUCGGAUCAACAUGACAAAAUUCUUGAACAUCCAACAUCCUGUAAAGAACCAAUUCCUUCCAGAACUACAACAACAAUCAAGAAGUACAAGUACAGAUCGUUUGAAAAGACUCAUCAAAAUACUCGUGUGGAUGUUUCAAGCUACAUUGAUUUUAAGAGUUAUCUUGAUUAUUGUUCAAUACAGGAAAAGGGACCAGUCUCUUUCAAUGUAUCCGACAGCGUGGAUUCAAAUGACUACAAGAGAAUUCUGCGAGGUCUAAUAUAGCAACAAAAAGUCUGGUCGACUUGACAAAAUUAAACAUCCAAGAUCCAAUCACCUCCCACUACCAGUCGUAACUUGUGCGACAGUAGAGGAAAUGAGAAAAGUUUACCAUGUUGUUGGCCCUUAUUAUAGGGUCAUUAUAAAACCAGACAGCUCCCUUCCCCCGAAGCAGAAAAACAAAAGGUGGGCGGCAAUGCUGGAAUUUUCUGAAACUUGCCAGAUUCCUGACCACAACUGUACUCCAUAUUAGUGCUGAUGUCAGGUUCCAGACUCUUUUCAACAAUGAUUUAGAAUUCUAAAAUAUUUUCAGUGUUGCGAGUCGAUGAAGUGACCUUGCAUAAGACUAUAUUACUACUAAGUUUAUUUUUCAAUUUGGUGUUUAUUACUUUAUUCUAGACUAGUUUGUGGUUUGUCUUUGCAACUUAUUUCUAUGUGUGAACGCAUUACUACUCUUCUUGUGAUAAUUAUAGAUCUUUCAUUUUGGCAAAUUAUGAUUGCAUAAUUUAAUGUUUCAACUAAAUUAUAAUAAUCCUAUAUAAUGUCUUGUUAGUUGUUUGAUAGUUACGAAUAUUAUUCCUUUUACUUGCUGAAGAAGCAACAUAAAUAUAAACUAGAAUCACCGUUUAAAAAAUUCUUAUGGGGUGGGGGAGAGGAUUCUAGGAAUGAAGCUGUUGUGUUGGUUUUUUCAUCUAUUUUUGUAAGUAGAUUCCCGGAAGUUUUUUGAGUUGCAGCUGAUUUUGUUUUUUGUUAGGAUCUAUCUGAAAGUUUAGUGUUGUCUCUGGUGUAUCUUCUGUGUCCCGCUCCUUCAGACUUGUCAAAGGGGUUAUGAAUCUCUUUGAGUAGGAUAAAUUUCAAUUUGUAGUUUUUUUUUUUUUUUGUCUGGUUCUGUCCAUUGAUCGAGUAUCAAAGUGGUUUAGGAGUAUAAGGAUGUAGUGUCAUAGCAGUUCAGGAGUUUUGUGCAGUCUUUGUCAUUGUUAGAUUCCUUUGCUUCCUGCACUGUUGCGUGGUUUCCACGAAGCUAUCAGUAGUUUCACUAUCAUUCAUAUCAGUAUCAAUAAUGUACUACAUGACACAAUUAAGUUAUAAAAAAAUACAUUAAAAACAUUAUUAAACAUUAAAACAAACUAGCAUCUCAAAAUAUACUAAAUGUUUAAAAUAAUUUCUUGUUGUGGUUAUACUACAUGACACAAUUAAGUUAUAAAAAAAUACAUUAAAAACAUUAUUAACCAUUAAAACAAACUAGCAUCUCAAAAUAUACUAAAUGUUUAAAAUAAUUUCUUGUUGUGGUUAUUCUAAUGCCCAAAACGUUUUCAUAAUUUUCUAUUAAGUCUUGUUGAAGGUGUUGGUGAACUUGCUUAUCGCAAACAUGGUGUCUUCUACGGAUGAACUUUUGAAAAUCAUUAUUAGAAUUUGUUUAGCGGUGUAGCCGGGUCAUUGCUCAUAUGAUCAAAUGAUAAUCAUGUUGUGCAAUAUGAUACACGUGUCCAUUAUUAUUGAGUUUAAAUAGGUGAAGUUACAAGCAUAAGGAAUUUUUGAUACCUAUCUCAAUGGGUCUUGAAUCUUACAAGCAUAAGUUACAAAACAAACAUAAACAAUGGAUUUAGGUUCCUUUGAUUGAAGCUAAGAAGAUUGAUUUUUAAUUUUUUUUUAGAUUCCAACUCAUGAAGAUUGCUUUUUAUUAAUUGGGUCCAUAAAAAGCUUGUUUCUUAAUUGCAACACGUGAAGAAUUUUUUUUUGAAUGUUUAAUUUUAAUUUUCUGGUUUUUUUUUUCUAAGAGCAACACGAUGAAGAUGAAAAUGGGUUAUAGUAUAGUUUCAUGGUGGGUUAGCAUGCCACCCUACUAUUAUUGUUUGCUAUAUAUAUUGUAUCAUUUUUUUUUGUUUCAUAAACAUUCAUUGAUAUGUGAUUUUAUGCAUAUUGAAAUAGACAGUGAACCAUGAUAAGAAAAACAGUGAAUUCAACAAUCACCCUGCAGAAUAACAGCAUGCAAAAACUCAAACAAAAUCAUAAUACACAUUGCACGGGUAUUAUAAUGUGAGAUUGAGUGAUCCACCAACAAUCAAAACAUAGUGUUACUCAUUUGAUUUAGAAUCUAGUUUUUCUUUUUCCCUGAAAAGGCAAUUCAGAAUCUAGUUUAUGUGGUUUUUCGUUUGCAACUAAAGAAACUUUGAUGCUCUCCAAAAACCAAACACAAAUUUACUGCCAAGAUGUAAUUAACGUAGCGAUUUUAAUAUAUGGGUUCAACAAUAUCAAACCGAAAAUUUCCAAUCUAUGUUUUCCCUUAAACUUUGCACAGCUUACUAGUCUAAAAGCGAGGAUGAAACAUAAAGCGUUUUUACCAUACUCGCUGUAAUACAAGGAAAAUUACUGCACAGAUAUGGUAAUAAAUGCAAAAUCACUGACGACCUUGCUUGGACUUGUUAUUUUGUUGACCAGCUUUGAAGGAGGCAGAUCUGGAAAUACAAUUCAAAAUCGAAAUUAAAUCGCAUAAUCUAACUUAACAAAAUUAUUAAGAGGUUUUGUAUCAAAUCGUGUUACUAUUUCCAGAAGAAGAAAAAAACUGAAAAAAAAACAUACUUGCUAGAAUUGGAAGUCUGGUCCUUUGCAGCAUUCUGAGAAGUUUUUCCACCCUUCUUCAUAGGGUGAGGAGUAGCUAUAUGUACAUAUUUUUCAUCAUCUACAACACGAAUUUAAUCAAAGAUAUGAUCACUGCAUAAUCAUCUACUUAAAUUCUCUCUUUUUUUAAAGACCGUACUUAAAUUCUUGAAAUACAUAUCUUUGUAAGGAUAAUUUUGUGAUUUCCUAUGUAACUAAGUUGUAACUGACGAUGUGACUCCCUCGAUAGCUCUAUAAAUGUAGAGUCAUUUAUCUAAUAUGAACUUCAUCCUAUUAAAACGAUGAAAAAACGGUAUUUCCAAAAUCAUUGAAUUUGUCCGUAUCGACGACCAAUUUGGAUCUGACGAGUUUCACCUUUAGCAGUGAUGGAAAUGAUUAUGCAGAGCCCUUUUCGGCCUUUGGCAGGUUGAAUAGUUUUGGCAAUUCGUAAUUGUACGGUUAAGGAUACAUAGAUCCUAAACAUAUCAAGCGAGACACUUGUCGUUUUAGCUAUGCAUAAUGAUUCAUCCGACUUUGCCAAAAUUGAGUAUCUGGUCCGAGUCUUUGUUCCUUUACUUUUACCGGUAUUCCUGAUCAGAAAAUAUGUGGAAGCAGUCUUUCUUCUGUGAAACAUGUAAAUAUUGCUGCAGACAUUCAUUUACAUUGGGACGAGCCUCCAAUGGUUCUAUUGAGUUGGCUGCUAGGCCUUGCCAAAGUAAAGUCAUUGACAUUCUCUUCAACUACUCUUCAGGUACAUUGGCAUGUUCCGGGACUUUAAUUUUACUUUCUUGUUAAGAUUCUGUAUGGUAUUUCAUGUAUUUGUUUAAUUAAAAUCAAUUGACAUGCAUAACUGAUCUUAUUUCACUUUCAUCCUUCAUUGUUUAGAUUCUCUCCUUAGUUCCUGAUUUACUAGAGGUUAAGCUCCGUUCUUUGUGUUACUUGAAGUCGAUGGAAAUAAAAUUGGCACCACCUCAAGCACAAGGGUUAUUACCCUAAAUAGCGAAAAAUCGCAUGUUAAAGAAAGCUGCUGCCAAAGUCACGUGAAGAAGCUGACGGGUUACAAACAGAAUUUGAAGCAGGUUCUGAACCACCUCCCAUACCGGACGGAAUAGUUAAACUCUUGCUUCAAAACUCGCCAUCCGCAAAAGUUGACAUCACAACAAAGUAUCCGGGUGCUCUUAAGCUUGAGCAGGUAGUUAUUCCAAUCUAACAUACAUUAUUCUUUUAGUUUAUUGCAAGUUGUGCUACACAGUUUAGAUAUUUUCAUUGUAGUUAAUUUUGACUUUCCUUUGUUUUAGUUGAUUGGUACUUUUGAAAUAUGCUUACUGCCCAGAGUCACUUUGGAAAACAUUUUACUAGAUGGAGAUUGACAAACGCUUCUUCAUAAUAUCAGUGAUUUUCUUGAAGAGUAUGAUGUUUCCAAACUGUGUAGCGAAUGUUUUGGUCUUGUCUACAGGCUCAGCCACCUUGACCGCGCUUGGGUUUUUUCCGCUCAGUGUGUCGUGGAAAUAGAAUUGAAGAUUUGUUUCUGUUUCUUUGUUCUUCUUUUUAAAACUUUUACCCCAAUUCCCUGCUUUCAAAUCCAAGCUUUGAAUUGGUAGUGAAAGAAUAGCACUCAUUAUAAGCAUAAUCACAAGCACAUUUUGCUUAGACAUUUUUUAUGGAUUAUUUGUUCCAGCAGGUUUAUGGCUUUUCGUUCUCUGUUGGGUGUAUAUAAAUAGAACAUUGCUCUUGUUGAGUUAGUCAGUCGUGUUACCUUUUUUUCUAGGUGUUUGGUAUUGUUUGAUGGAGAAUAUUUUAGAAACUUGCAAUUUCAAGCGAAAUUCCAUCUAGCGAAUUCAUCCCAACUUUAUAUUCAGCCAGCCACUUUUAUUGACUUCCACCUUUUGUUGUUGACUAACCCGUGAGUUCCGCUCAAUUCCCAGUUUUCAUUGGUUGGUUUUUGAUUCGCUAUGCUUUCGUGAUGUUUCUAUUUGCUUUAUAUAGCAAUGCUGAAUAUUUUACACACUUUAUUCCCACAAAAAUUUGAAAUGUGGUUUAAUAACAACACUACAACUAAUUAGGGUGGUCCACUACGGGUGCAUUUGGGGUGUGAAAAGGAAAGACACAAAAUAGACAAUACAACUAAUUUCAAGUUUUAACAAUAUGAGAUGAGAUAAUUGCAUAGAAGAGAUAAAAGAAACUAAACAAAAAUAUAUAAAAUAAACAAGUAUUGGUAUGUGAUCUUUUUAGUUUGACUUUUUUCCUUUUUAAAUUGAUUAUUUUUCUCAAAUUAGUUCUAUAUGUUGCAUUAAAUUUGUACAACUAACCUUUCCAAGUUAUAUUAAAUUACGUUUUCAGUUAAGUUUAACCAUUUUCUCAUAUUAAUUCAUCUCUUGGAUGCAGUCGAACAACCCAACUUUAAACUCUAAUAAAUAUGCUUUGAAACAUAACUUGGAGUGCAAGUCAUAGGAUGACAUAAUGGUAAAAAAUAAUAAAGUACACAUAAGUGAUAACUAAAUAUGUGAUAUUGUACUUGUAUUAAUCAAAUCCACAAUCACCAGAAAUCCAUCAGUCAAGUCUAGGUCCUAAUAUUAUCCUUAAAUUUCUUCGUAUGAAUGAAAAGCGACUAAGCGAGGGGUGGCUUCCUUGCCCUGGUAGCUUGCUCAAAAUCAUAAGCAAUCUCAAUCAGUUUCGGCUCAGUUCCCUUUAACCCUCCAAAACAGAUUCCAAAUGGCAUCCCUUGCUUAUCAUAUCCAGCUGGGACAGUGAUUGCUGGAUACCCUCCAAUUGCCAACAUUGGAGAAGCAUCAGAGCCUAUGGCCAACACUGCAUCCAAUUGAUUCUUCUUUAUCAAACUCUCAAACCCAUCUUUUGACAAUUGAUCCAUCAUCUUCAGUGCCUCAAUUUCACUUUUUCCGAAUCCGCUCGUCAUUUCUGAAGCAAUAAAUAAAUCUUGCCCAUAUUCAUUAGUCUUUUCCUGUUACAAGAAAACCAUAAAACAUAUUCAUUAUGUGUAUUGUCAGUAUCAUAUAGCAAAAUCCUUUGUUGUAAGUUCUUUUCAUAUGCUUUCCAAAUGAUACAAAGCAUUUAUGUCAUAUUAGUAUCUUAUGCAUAAUGCAUAAUAGAGAUAGUUUAGAUAAAAUUUGAAAACAUAAAUGAUAAUAUUCAAAAUUAUAAUUUCCAUGAGGUUUCUCCAGCUAUUUGACCAUUUAAAAUUAAAAGUAAAUGCAUAGAUACUUACUAAUUUAGGGUUAUUGAUGUUGAAUUCUAUAAUCUCAGCUAGAGACCUCACGGGAGAAUAAGUGAGCUCCUGUAGAUAUUUGUUAAUGGACAACUUGAAUUCUGGAAGAAAGGUUAUCAUUUCACCAUUUUGAAAAGGGUCUAGAAUGAUACUUAAAUUUUCUACUUCCAAAUUUUCCACAACUUUUGCACCUCUUUCUCUUCAAUUUGCAAAUAAAACAAAAGCAAUCUCAGUACUGUUACUAUAAAAUUUGACAUUCUUUUCAUUUCAUUGUCUAUAGUGUAAAUAAAUAGUGUCACAGUGUGUGCUAGUGAGCAAUUGGUUUGUGUUAUGAAUUAUAUUAUAUUGUAUUUUUACCUCAACAGAUUGAGAUGAUCCUCAAAGAUGGAAAUGACUUUGGAUCCCUCAUAAGGAAUCAAAAAUGGAUUCCUCAAAACACCUAUUUUCUUUCCUUUGAGACCUUGUUUAUUGAGGAAUUGCUUAUAACCACCUGAAGGUAUAAACUUGGCUGCUGACUUUGUAGCUUCAUAAUCUCUUGUGUCAAAUCCAACAAUUACAUCAAGCACAUGAACUGCAUCUGAAACUGUCCUGCAAAUUGGCCUGUGCAAAAUAGACAUACAUACAUUCUCACAUUUAAAAUUAAAGGGAAAAACUACAUCAGAAGUACUCUAACUUAAUUUAAAAUUUUAAACAGAUUCUUUAUUUAUUUUUUUCGUUUAAAAUUGAUCAUUUAUGUUUUAAAACGUCUAACACUAACCCGAUGGUAUCUUGACGAGGUGAAAUUGGUAUGACACCAGCCCUGCUACUGAGUCCAACAGUUGGCUUGAUUCCCACUACUGAAUUGUGAUCAGCUGGACAGAUAAUGGAGCCAUCAGUUUCUGUCCCUAAUGAAACUGUAACCAUGUUUGUUGCCACUGAAAUUGCAGAUCCAAAGCUAGACCCACAUGGACUCUUAGACUCCACAUAAGGAUUCUGCAAUAACAUGUUACUAAUCAGUAAUACUAUACUUAAAUUAAAAAUCAACCAAUAUCAAAGUUAGCAUAUCACAAAUGUCAUUUGUGUCACUCUGAAAUUACAUUCUAUUUUUAAGCCGAUUUUUAUAUACAACUUCAUUAAGUUCUUCUACCUUUUUUUUUGAGAGACUUAAGUUCUUCUACUUCUUCUUUACUAUACAUAUAUAUGUAGUAUAUCAUGGACACUUCAGAUAGAUAUUGUGUGAGUGUGUCCAUUGUUGGACAUCUAUCAGUGUCCGACUCGGCACAUGUAUUUAAAUUUAAUUACUUUUUUUUUUAAAUAAUUAUUGUUAGUGUGGUGUCUAGGGUUUGUAUCUAUAUCAAUACUUCAUAGUACAUAACUUGGUGUCAUGAAAUUUUUUAUAUCUUUUUUGUAACCAUGUAAUUGGGGCAUACACACCAGCUUUUGUCGAUGAUUAAACUCUGUAGUGGAUUCUCUCCACUCAACAUGUUUUCAUUCAGAGCGUUCAAACCCGAGACUUUAUUUUAGAGAUUAAGAGAGAGUGAAGUGAUGAGUACUAACCAAUGCAAAUCCACCUCUAGCGCACCAAGUUUUUGGCAUGGUGGUAGAACGAGCGCCAUACCACUCUGGGAGACUAGUUUUCCCCAGAAUAAUGGCACCAGCAUCCCUUAGCUUCGAAACCACGUGUGCAUCACGUGGAACCUUUGAUCCAAGCAAUGCAUAAGAACCUGCUGUUGUAUUUAGUUUGUCAAAAGUUGCAAUACUGUCUUUGAUCAAAACAGGUAUCCCAUGAAGCAACGAACGGUCACGAUCUUCUUGUCUCUCGCAAUCAGCCUUGUCCGCUUGAUCUCGUGCGUCAGGAUUGAGUUCCAAUACAGCACCAAGUAUUGGAUUCAGCACCUUGAUUCUGUGCAAGUAAAAGUCAACGAGUUGUCUUGAAGUGAGUUUGUUUAGAGUGAAGGCAUCUUGUAUGUCUUCUAUGGUGGAUUCAUCGAUUGUAAAAUCUGAACAUUCAUCUAUUGCAUUGAUAAAUGCCACUGCAAAUAACAUCAAAGAAAUACAAACUUUGGUUCUUGUUGCCAUCUUUUUAUUUG
rnacentral:lncRNA from 1 species